UACGGGGGGAGCAAGCGUUGUUCGGAUUCAUUGGGCGUAAAGGGUGCGUAGGCGGCGCGGUAAGUCGGGUGUGAAAUCUCGGGGCUUAACUCCGAAACUGCAUUCGAUACUGCCGUGCUUGAGGACUGGAGAGGAGACUGGAAUUUACGGUGUAGCGGUGAAAUGCGUAGAUAUCGUAAGGAAGACCAGUGGCGAAGGCGGGUCUCUGGACAGUUCCUGACGCUGAGGCACGAAGGCCAGGGGAGCAAACGGG
rnacentral:rRNA from 1 species